CGUUGAAACACAGGUUCUCGUAGGAUCACCGAAGUUAAGCAAUGCUGUGUCUGCAUAGUACCUAGAUCGGUAACCGCUUGAGGAUAUUAGGUGCUGUAAG